rnacentral:rRNA from 1 species
GACGAACGCUGGCGGCGUGCUUAACACAUGCAAGUCGAACGGAAAGGCCCUGCUUUUGUGGGGUGCUCGAGUGGCGAACGGGUGAGUAACACGUGAGUAACCUGCCCUUGACUUUGGGAUAACUUCAGGAAACUGGGACUAAUGCCGGAUAGGAGCGCCUGCUGCAUGGUGGGGGUUGGAAAGUUGCGGCGGUUGGGGAUGGACGCGCGGCUUAUCAGCUUGUUGGUGGGGUAGUGGCUUACCAAGGCUUUGACGGGUAGCCGGCCUGAGAGGGUGACCGGCCACAUGGGGAGUGAGAUACGGCACAGACCUCUACGGGAGGGAGGAGUGGGGAAUAUCGCACUAUGGGCGGGAGCCUGAUGCAGCAACGCCGCGUGCGGGAUGACGGCCUUCGGGGUGUACCCGCUUUCGCCUGUGACGAAGCGUGAGUGACGGUAAUGGGUAAAGAAGCACCGGCUAACUACGUG